rnacentral:rRNA from 1 species
CCUACGGGAGGCAGCAGUGGGGAAUAUUGCACAAUGGGGGAAACCCUGAUGCAGCGACGCCGCGUGAGUGAAGAAGUAAUUCGGUAUGUAAAGCUCUAUCAGCAGGGAAGAAAAUGACGGUACCUGAGUAAGAAGCCCCGGCUAACUACGUGCCAGCAGCCGCGGUAAUACGUAGGGGGCAAGCGUUAUCCGGAUUUACUGGGUGUAAAGGGAGCGUAGACGGCAGUGCAAGUCUGGAGUGAAAGGCGGGGGCUCAACCCCCGGACUGCUCUGGAAACUGUACGGCUGGAGUGCAGGAGAGGUAAGUGGAAUUCCUGGUGUAGCGGUGAAAUGCGUAGAUAUUAGGAGGAACACCAGUGGCGAAGGCGGCAUACUGGACUGUAACUGACGUUGAGGCUCGAAAGCGUGGGGAGCAAACAGGAUUAGAUACCCGUGUAGUC